rnacentral:sRNA from 1 species
AGUCGUUUCGGAAACUGGAAAACUCAACAGAAAUUUAGACCUGAGAAAAGUUUUGAUAUUCAAUGGCGGGCUGCACCUUCGGGUUGUCGGGAGACACGGCAGAUUACAACGAAUACCGACACUCAAACCCUAUUUAAUAGGAGUUUUCUCUCAAUUUACCGAAACGGCUUUUUUC